UACGUAGGUGGCGAGCGUUGUCCGGAAUUACUGGGCGUAAAGGGUGCGUAGGCGGAUAUUUAAGUGGGAUGUGAGAUACCUGAGCUCAACUCGGGUGCUGCAUUCCAAACUGGAUAUCUAGAGUGCAGGAGAGGAGAAUGGAAUUCCUAGUGUAGCGGUGAAAUGCGUAGAGAUUAGGAAGAACACCAGUGGCGAAGGCGAUUCUCUGGACUGUAACUGACGCUGAGGCACGAAAGCGUGGGUAGCAAACAGG
rnacentral:rRNA from 1 species